AGCUUUGCGCAGUGGCAGUAUCGUAGCCAAUGAGGUUUAUCCGAGGCGCGAUUAUUGCUAAUUCAAAACAUAGCAGAUAUAAAAAUAAGGGUUUAAGGGCACCUGGGUACCUCAGUUGGUUAAGCACCCAAUUCUUGAUUUAGGCUUGGGUCA
rnacentral:snRNA from 1 species